GACGAACGCUGGCGGCAUGCCUAAUACAUGCAAGUUGAACGAUGAUAUUCUCUGCUUGCAGAGACUUGAAGAGUAGCGAACGGGUGAGUAACACGUGGGGAACCUGCCCAUGAGAGGGGGAUAACAUUCGGAAACGGAUGCUAAUACCGCAUAAUGCUUUGGACCGCCUGGUCCAGAGACGAAAGACGGCUUUUGCUUUCACUCAUGGAUGGCCCCGCGCCGUAUUAGCUAGUUGGUGAGGUAAUGGCUCACCAAAGCUGUGAUACGUAGCCGACCUGAGAGGGUGAUCGGCCACACUGGGACUGAGACACGGCCCAGACUCCUACGGGAGGCAGCAGUAGGGAAUCUUCCACAAUGGGCGAAAGCCUGAUGGAGCAAUGCCGCGUGAAUGAAGAAGGUCUUCGGAUCGUAAAGUUCUGUUAUUAGAGAAGAACAAGUCAAGGAGUAACUGUCUUGACUUUGACGGUACCUAACCAGAAAGUCACGGCUAACUACGUG
rnacentral:rRNA from 1 species